rnacentral:rRNA from 1 species
UCUUACUAGGUCCGGACCGAGUCUAUGAACGUCGUACCGUUGGGUGCUACGUGAUUACUGGAUGAGUGGUGCAUGGCCGUUCUUAGUUCGUGGUGUUAAUUGUCUACUUAAUUGUUUCGGUCAUGUAUCUCUCAGUACAGUCCAUACAACGAACGAGAUCGAGACCCGGUAUUACUACGGGGAUCGCGUAAUUACUCCACACGGUACGAUCGAAAGACUCGGCAAUAACAGGUCUGUGAUGCCCUCAGAUGUUCUAGGCUGCACACGUGCUACAUUGUGGUUUCGUUUGUAUGCGUAGAUAUAUCUAAGAUCCCCCGCACCGAGUCUCAAUUAUUCACAUAGUUGGACUCACCGAUUGUAAUUAUUCGGUAUACUAACUAGGAAUGCCUCGUACCGGGUCGGUUCAACGAGACCCCCUGGAAUCCGUCCCUGCCCUUUGUACACACCGCCCGUCGCUCUUACCGAUGGCCGUGGUUAUUAGUUUAGUUGAGUCUCUCGCGAGGUGAAUCUAUGCGCGUAACCACGACUAAAGGAAAGAGAAGUCGUAACAAGGCAUCGGUAGGUGAACUGGAA